UAAUUUUGUUGCGCUUUAGGUUUCAUAUGGUUUAUGACCGUAAAUGAAUUAAAGGGAAUACGGUGAAGAAUCCGUAACUGUCCCGCAGCUGUAAGCUCUUUAACCAUUGUUCAUUCUUAUUGUCACUGUCCCAUGAAAUGAAAAAGGGGCGGGAAGGCAGGACAACGUGGGAGCAAGUCAGAAUACCUGCCCAGGCACUUAUAUUAUU
rnacentral:ncRNA from 2 species